rnacentral:rRNA from 1 species
UUGCAGGCUGCAACCCGCCUGUAUGAAGUUGGAAUCGCUAGUAAUCGCGGAUCAGCAUGCCGCGGUGAAUACGUUCCCGGGCCUUGUACACACCGCCCGUCACACCAUGAGAGUCGGGAACACCCGAAGUCCGUAGUCUAACUUUCACGAGAGGACGCGGCCGAAGGUGGGUUCGAUAAUUGGGGGUGAAGUCGUAACAAGGUACC